rnacentral:rRNA from 1 species
UACGUAGGGUGCGAGCGUUGUCCGGAAUUAUUGGGCGUAAAGGGCUCGUAGGCGGUUUGUCGCGUCGGGAGUGAAAACCCAGGGCUUAACCCUGGGCUGGCUUCCGAUACGGGCAGACUAGAGGUAUGCAGGGGAGAACGGAAUUCCUGGUGUAGCGGUGAAAUGCGCAGAUAUCAGGAAGAACACCCGUGGCUAAGGCGGCUCUCUAGUACGGUACUGACGCUGAGACGCGAAAGCGUGGGGAGCGAACAGG